ensembl:lncRNA
GUGAGCCACUGUUGCCUGUGACCGUGCUAGUGAUCCACUUUUGCUUGCCUGUGACCGUGCUAGUGAUCCACUGUUGCUUGCCUGACUGUGCUGGUGAUCCACUGUGCCUGCCUGUGACUGUGCUGGUGAUCCACUGUCACCUGCCUGUGACUGUGUUAGUGAUCCAUUGUCGCCUGACUGUGACCGUGCUAGUGAUCCACUGUUGCCUGUGACUGUGCUGGUGAUCCACUGUUGCUUGCCUGUGACCGUGCUAGUGAUCCACUGUCGCCUGCCUGUGACGGUGCUGGUGAUCCACUGUCGCCUGCCUGUGACGGUGCUGGUGAUCCACUGUCGCCUGCCUGUGACGGUGCUGGUGAUCCACUGUCGCCUGCCUGUGACGGUGCUGGUGAUCCACUGUCACCUGCCUGUCACUGUGCUAGUGAUCCAUUGUCGCCUGACUGUGACCGUGCUAGUGAUCCACUGUUGCCUGUGACUGUGCUGGUGAUCCACUGUUGCCUAACAUACCAAAAUGUUGUGGCUUACACAAUAAACGUUUAUUCUCUCACAGUGUUUGUGGGUGGGCAGUGCAGGAGCCAGUGCCUGGGGCUGCAGGUCUUAAAGGAGGCUGCAGUCAGGCUGUUGGCUGGGGUUCUGUCUCCUGCACAGGCUCCGCAGGGGGAUCUGCCUCCAGGCCCACUCCCAGGACUGCUGGCAGGACUUCCCUCCUCUGGGCUCUCAGCUCCUCAGUCCCUUGCUUCGGGGCUUCUCCAGAGGUGCUCUCACAGCGUGGCGGCUGGUCUUCCACGGAGUGAACGGACGAGAGAACCAGAGUGCUCGGGAUGGAAGCCACCUCAUCUCCCAUGUGACCCCAUCACGUUUGCUGUGUUCUGACAGAAGUGCAUGGGAUUAUACAGCCUGGGUGGCAGGUCUGAUUACAGUGGAAGCCUGCGAUAAUGAAGGAGCCAGCUACUUCUCUAGGACUAGACGAUUGUUCUGGGUUUGGACUGCUUUCCCCAACUUACGGAUCUUUCAUCCAGUCCAUCUGUGGACCUACUGAAUACCUUAUACUCCACACAGCUUAUACAGCAUCCCAGACGACAUUGCUUCUCACCCAGGAACUCACUUUCCCGUGAAAGAGUGACAAAGUCCAAGAGUAGAGGGAUUGACGCUAUGCUGUUGCAUCUGACUCAGUGCCCGUAUAUUUUGCUUUCCACUGUGGGGAGAGACUCUGCCGUGGGUCCUGAGCACCCUGCAUAUUAUUGCCGAGCAUGCCAGCUGCGAGGCUUAUCCAUCUCCUGACACAACAGUUUCCGAAGCUAGUAACACAGGCACCUACGUGGGUCCAGGCGGCCAGAGCAUUACUACCAUUUCACUGCCGCUGCCCUAGGGGAGAGACUGGCUUGUUUGCUACUUGCUCAACAACUGCGUGGCCCUGGAUUCUCCUCCUGCGCUCAACCCGAUGUGUGUAUGGGUGUCAUCUGGCCCACCACAGCCCUGUGGAAACUGGGGCUCCAGGAACCGGUGCAAACAUGCGACGCUUGGGCUACUGCUUUGCUGUAAUAAAAAGAUUUUUGUGUCUUACCCAGGAGUCUCCGGUCUCUUGCCAGCAUCCACGACACUGCAGCAAGCAAGCUGCAAGUAGGAUAAAAUCUCAGACCCUUCACUGCUCUUGCCGUCCAUCUGCACAACUCCAGGUUCUGUUGGUAUACCAAUUUUUGUACCCAGAGUGUGCAAGGGGAUACAAUGUUUCCUCUGUACUGGAAGCUGGAAUUGCCUCCUGCUCAUUUUUAGCUCCUUCCCCUAGGUGAGGAGUUAGAAAAGUGGUUAUGGUGCAGCUGGAGUGACUGGCCCUGAUGACCAUGGGGAAAAAGGAGUAGGGAGAGGAGUCUGACAGGGGCAUCUCAUCUCCUGGAAUACCUCCUCGAAAUAACAUGUUGAGUUGUACAAAUUAAGCAGACUCUUGCAACCAUACGGAGGCAAGAUGGACUACAGCAGACCUCUGAUAUGUUUUGUAUUUGGUGCUCAGUCAUCAAACCCGUUUCAUAUGUUUGGUGAAUCUUGGUAGGAGAAAUGUUCCCAUCUUCUACUGUGGAAGCUAAGGUCACAUAUCCUUGCUGUCUUUGAUGCUUGACAGCCCAAGUGCUGGCGCAAGACGAAAUAAGCUUGGUCAGUUGGACAUUCCCACCAGUCUCUGAAUCUGGAACUAGUGAUGCAAACAAGCAGGGUGUUUGGAAUCCGGUUUUCAGAGGCCUCACCGCCCACAGAAGUAAACAAACUCGCAGCUCUCCCUGAGGCUGGAAGUUGGCUACGGUUUUGGUCAUCUAGCUUCCUUUGGUUUCUGUUUUCCAAAGCUGGUUCUCCAGCCUUUCCAUCAAUUCUGUGAGCGAUAUAUCUAAUAUUCUUCCAAUAAACUGUUUUCCUGCCUAAGUUAA